rnacentral:rRNA from 1 species
UGGGGAAUUUUGGACAAUGGGCGCAAGCCUGAUCCAGCAAUGCCGCGUGCAGGAUGAAGGCCUUCGGGUUGUAAACUGCUUUUGUACGGAACGAAAAGGCUCUGGUUAAUACCUGGGGCUCAUGACGGUACCGUAAGAAUAAGCACCGGCUAACUACGUGCCAGCAGCCGCGGUAAUACGUAGGGUGCAAGCGUUAAUCGGAAUUACUGGGCGUAAAGCGUGCGCAGGCGGUUAUGUAAGACAGAUGUGAAAUCCCCGGGCUCAACCUGGGACCUGCAUUUGUGACGGGAGAGCUAGAGUACGGCAGAGGGGGAUGGAAUUCGGCGUGUAGCAGUGAAAUGCGUAGAUAUGCGGAGGAACAACGAUGGCGAAGGCAAUCCCCUGGGCCUGUACUGACGCUCAUGCACGAAAGCGUGGGGAGCAAACA